rnacentral:rRNA from 1 species
GAUGAACGCUGGCGGCGUGCCUAAUACAUGCAAGUCGAACGAACAGACAAGGAGCUUUCUCCCCUGCCGUUAGCGGCUGGCGGGUGAGUAACACGUAUAUCACCUACCUAUAUUUCUGGGAUAAUUACGGAAAACCGGAUAUAAUACCGGAUAAUAUAUUGAACCGCAUGGUGCAAUAGUUAAUCACGGUUUGGCUGUCACUUAUAGACGGAUUGGCGCCGCAUUAGCUAGUUGGUAAGGUAACGGCUUACCAAGGCGACGAUGCGUAGCUGAACUGAGAGGAUGAUCAGCCACACUGGAACUGAGACACGGUCCAGGCUCCUACGGGAGGCAGCAGUGGGGAAUAUUGGGCAAUGGGCGGAAGCCUGAUAGAGCCACGCCGCGUGAGUGAAGAAGGCCUUCGGAUUGUAAAGCCCUGUUAUUAGGAAAGAAAAGCUGCGGAUUAAUACCUCGCCGUUUUGACGGUACCCAAUGAAUAAGCACCGGCUAACUACGUG